GGUUAAGACCGGUGGGGAAAAAAUCCUGGCCCAUCCCAGCAAUUUUCCAUUGUCUCGGCCCGGGAAGAAAUCCUCCGCACUGGAGUCGUGGAAAAAUUCCCGGACAUGAGAAAGGGAGAGGCGAGACGGGAGCGAGAAGAGGACGGCGUGCAGCCGACGGUGACGGGAGCUGGGCGGCGUGCAGCCGGCGGCGAUGGCAGCUCUCCCCUCCGGCGGAUCUCCCCCGUCCGACAGCUCUCCCCUCCUCUACGGCUUUCAUAAGAAGGAAGUCAAUAUUGGUUUUGUGCAACAACAACAAAUGUUGAUAUGUGAACCUUUGAAUAGAUAUACCUUGCCGUGUGUGGCUUGUAGUUUCAUAUCUAUUAGCUCCUUGAAUUUAUCUCAGAAAUAUGUGUGUUGUUUUUACAAGCAAAACAUUGAUUUGCUCCAUGUCAUCUAAAUAUUUCUUUUUUGAUUGAGUUCUUGAUAGCUUAUAUGGACAAAUUAUGAACUUGUAACUUCUCUGUCUUUUUUAAUUCAGACAGGGCUAAUACCCCAAGCACCAAUCUAGAUAGACAGCAUUCAUGUGCUUA